GUCCUACGGGUGGCUGCAGUCGAGAAUCUUCGGCAAUGGGCGCAAGCCUGACCGAGCGACGCCGCGUGGAGGACGAAGGCCUUCGGGUUGUAAACUCCUGUCGAGGGGGAUGAAGGGCCUGCGAAGAGCAGGCCUUGACAGAUCCCUGGAGGAAGCACGGGCUAAGUUCGUGCCAGCAGCCGCGGUAAGACGAACCGUGCGAACGUUAUUCGGAUUCACUGGGCUUAAAGCGCGUGUAGGCGGCCCGGCACGUCGGGCGUUGAAAGCCCCCGGCUCAACCGGGGAAUCGGCGCCGAUACGGCCGAGCUGGAGGGGUAUAGGGGGGCCUGGAACUUCCGGUGGAGCGGUGAUAUGCGUUGAGAUCGGAAGGAACGCCCGAGGCGAAAGCGAGGCCCUGGAUACUUUCUGACGCUGAGACGCGAAAGCCAGGGGAGCAAACGGGAUUAGAUACCCGGGUAGUC
rnacentral:rRNA from 1 species